AUUAAAUUUAUCCUUAUUUUAACCACGUUUCCGAUUGAUCGGUCGAGUUAAAAUAAUUUCAUAUUUCUAAUACCUGUACGGUAUUAAUACCUUCAAAUAACAUUUGCUGUCGAGACUCCAGCAUGGAACAGAAUCCUGCAGCACAUAAAUAGAGGACUUCUGGUGGGGAUUCCUACUCCUAUAGGGCACAAGUUUAGCUACCCAGUUCAUCGUUUUGGGACUCUUUGGAAGACAAUUUGUGUUUUUUACUUAAUAAAUGUUAUUUUAUUUUGA